ensembl:lncRNA
AAACCAGUCAUCACAGAUGUAGCUACCAGCAGGCAUGUACUCACCAUCCUCGGCGAGUUGUGGGAAAAGCAGACAUCUGGGAGACAGUCACAGCAAAAAUCCCGAGCAGAAGGAAACUCCCAUUCUUUUGGACGCCAUUCUGAAAUAAAACAUCCACUCAAUCGGUGGCUGUAGCUAUUUCCGCUAGAUACUCCCGGUUAUACCUGUCUUGGGGGGUGUUGUGUUGUGUGGAUGAUCCAACCGACGAUAGCGGUCACAAACUGGCUGAUGUUUGGACAGCUCUGCUCUUCCUUGCUGGUGGUGCUGAAACUGACAACAAGGGCUCGCUUGGACUCUACCCGCUCUGGUUGUUAUUGGGCGGGGAGGGGCUCUUCAAAUCCCCGCUCUGGUUGUUACUUGGGCGGGGAGGGGCUCUUCAAAUCUCCGCUCUCCUCUGGUGUUGUUGGAGCUGUUAACGACCUGCAGUGCUGAAACCAGGACACUCGCUAUAUUUAACUAGAGAUAGAUACACUGCCAGGCUCGUGGUCUAUAAACUCCGUGUGAGCUGUCGUGAACUCACCUGCCGUAUGCCGAUAGUAGCUACCCGAAAUAACACGAUKUCUCUCUCUCGGUCGGACCAAACCGUGAAGGAGGAGAACAAAACGAAUGUCCGCCCCUGAUCGUGCGUCCUGUCCUGGACGCCUUAGCUUUUUAUAGUCGAUACUGUGGGCUGUCCCAUUUUGCCUCAUUGGAAUUAGAUACAUCCAUACAUACACAACAAGUCAACAUGGUUGUGCCCAGAGCAGUGUUGUGUUUCAGAUGUUUUCCAUGUUCCUCAGCCCCAGUUAAUCUCCUGCUUUAUGAGCCUUAUGCUUCAGAUGAAUAUACAUGCUGUCUGCUGAUUGGAUAGAUCUGUCUUAAUGGGACUAAAGCUUUGAGUAGAGUGAACAUGCUGAGCAGUGUGUUAUCAGUUGUCCAUUGAGGAACAGCACACACACACUUAGUAAAGAACAAUUGCUACAUGCUCAGGGCAUUGUUCUGGGUCUGUCUGUCUGUCUGUCUGUCUGUCCGUCUGUCUGUCAUAUCCCUCAGUGCAGUGGCCCUUAUCUCAUUCUCUCUCCCCUGCUCUGCCCGUUCACUGUCUCCUCUCUUUCAAUUUCAAUUCAAGAGCUUUAUUGGCAUAGGAAACUUAUGUUUACAUACAGGCACCGGUUAGUCGGGCUGAUUGAGGUAGUAUGUACAUGUAGAUAUGGUUAAAGUGACUAUGCAUAUAUGAUGAACAGAGAGUAGCAGUAGCGUAAAAGAGGGGUUGGCGGGUGGUGGGUGGCGGGACACAAUGCAGAUAGCCCGAUUAGCCAAUGUGUGGGGGCACUGGUUGGACGGGCCAAUUGAGGUAGUAUGUACAUGAAUGUAUAGUUAAAGUGACUAUGCAUAUAUGAUAAAUAGAGAGUAGCAGCAGUGUAAAAGAGGGGUUGGGGGGGACACACAAUGUAAAUAGUCCGGGUAGCCAUUUGAUUACCUGUUCAGGAGUCUUAUGGCUUGGGGGUAAAAACUGUUGAGAAGCCUUUUUGUCCUAGUCUCUGAACUCCUCCCUAUAGGCUGUCUUGUUGUUGUCGGUGAUCAGGGCUACCACUGUUGUGUCGUCUGAAAACUUAAUGAUGGCGUUGGAGUCGUGCCUGGCCAUGCAGUCGUAGGUGAACAGGGAGUACAGGAGGGGACUGAGCACGCACCCCUGGGGGGCUCCAGUGUUGAGGAUCAGCAUGGCAGAUGUGUUGCUGCCUACCCUCACCACCUGGGUGCGGCCGGUCAGGAAGUCCAGCAGGAGUUAGAUGAGGAGCAGGAGUUAGAUGAGAAGCAGGAGGUAGAUGAGGAGCAGGAGGCAGAUGAGGAGCAGGAGGCAGAUGAGGAGCAGGAGGUAGAUGAGGAGCAGGAGGUAGAUGAGGAGCAGGAGUUAGAUGAGGAGCAGGUAGGAGGGCAGAUGACCGGAGCAGGAGCCGAUGAGGA